rnacentral:misc_RNA from 1 species
AGAUGCGAAAGAUCUGUGUUCUUGAGCUAUUUAGUGCCAAGAGAGUGCAGUCAUUUCAAUUUGUUAGAGAAGAAGAGGUUGAUUUGCUUAUCAAUUCCAUCUCCAAUUUUUCUUCCUCUGCCACUCCUGUUGAUCUCAGUGAAAAGAUAUUGUCUCUCACUGCGAACAUAACUUGUAGAGCAGCUUUUGGGAAGAGUUUUCAAGAGAGAGGGUUCAGCCAUGAAAGAUUCCAAGAAAUUAUUCAUGAAGGUAUGGCAAUGCUUGGGAUCUUCUCUGCAGCUGAUUUCUUUCCUUAUGUGGGCUGGAUUGUUGAUAGACUCACAGGCCUCCAUGCAAGGCUUGAAAGAAACUUUCAAGAAUUUGAUGCUUUCUACCAGCAGGUGAUAGAUGAUCACAUCCAAAAGCGAAGCAAACAGCAUAGACAGGAAGAUUUUAUCGAUGUUUUGCUUGAGAUGGGGAGAUUUCAAACUGAAUCUGCUGCAAUUCAAUUGUCCCAAGAUCAUAUUAAAGCGAUUCUCAUGAACAUAUUCCUGGC